UGAAGCAACAUGUCUGCGCCUAGAACACAUGUGUAAACAAACAUGGAGAAAGGAGUAACCUAGCUCAUGGAUUAACCUAACCGAAACGAUUUAAAAUGUUCCUGUUAUUCGGAGAAACAUAUUCAGCAAUGACAUUACGGCUUCGCGAGACCUUUUUACGGAGAUCUCUGCGAUUUUCGGACAUCCGAAAACUGUCAGCAGCCCCAGAACAUGCGCCACUCUAUCUGCGCGCAGAGGUACCUGAUUGAAGAUGCAAAGCCUCGCCAGUGGCAGUACCACAGUGAAGUGCAUACAGAUCAGACUCCUGUGCAUCAAUACUAUAAGAGAGAAACUUCUUGAGUAUCUCCUUUAGGAGGUGCCAUACACUAUGACCCAGCAAAUUGAAAUCUGGAAGCAGUCUGAGGAUGGGGCACUCGAAAUAUCAAUCAAACUAUAUGUGAAGAAAGACAGUCAUAUGAAAAUGUUUAUUGGUCCUGGAGGUCAUUUAAUUACCAGAAUAACCCAGGAAGUUAGAAUUUACCUAAUGAACAUUUUCUUGCAAGAAGUGCAUCUAAAAAUAUCUGCGAAGUUGAAGAAUUGAAGUUCAGAGCUCAAGCG